GCACUGGCAUAUACAAACACGCCCACAGAACCAAACCAAGCGGACAAGGCUUCAAGGAGAGCUUCUGGGCGGCUCAUUCCCGCGGCGAGGCAUAUCCCUUGGCAUGGUGCCACUGCAGCCCAGCUCCCAGCCCCCCCGCCAUCUGUCAUCAGCGCUCUGCCUACUGCCAAGAGAUGCAAAGGAUUAAUCAUGAACCCAGUUGCCCAGAGGUGGAAAAAAAAAUCUGUUGUGGUAGACUGAAGAAGCAAGAAGUUAUAUGGCAAAUACUUGCAACAACUGGAAAAAAACAGAAGAGGGAAAGAAAGAAGUAAAAUCUCCCACCAAGUUUAUCAACCCAGAGCCACAGCUACUGUUUUGUAAUCUCCAGGCGACUAUAUAUCUAGGCUAUGAAUCCACAUCUUUUUCACCCAACUCACUAUUCAAGAUUUAUGUGAUUCAGGGUAUUAAAUGCUAAUAUAUUUCUGUUGCUCAAA
rnacentral:lncRNA from 1 species